CCCUUAGAUGUUCUGGGCCGCACGCGCGCUACACUGACGAAUGCAACGAGCUUAUAACCUUGGCCGAAAGGUCUGGGUAAUCUCCAAAUUUCGUCGUGAUGGGGAUAGAUUAUUGCAAUUAUUAAUCUUCAACGAGGAAUGCCUAGUAAGCGCAAGUCAUCAGCUUGCGUUGAUUACGUCUCUGCCCUUUGUACACACCGCCCGUCGCUCCUACCGAUUGAAUGGUCCGGUGAAGCGUUCGGACCGUGGCCUUUGGACGGUUCGCCGUCUGUUGGCUGCGGGAAGUUCGUUAAACCUUAUCAUUUAGAGGAAGGAGAANUCGUANCA
rnacentral:rRNA from 1 species